rnacentral:tRNA from 1 species
GCGGGUUUCGGGGUACGCGGUGCACGCCCCUGCGGGCUGACGCCUCGUCGGCCCGCUGAACAGGCUGGCGCGGGUUCGAACCCACGAACCCAUA